rnacentral:rRNA from 1 species
UAUCCGGAUUCAUUGGGUUUAAAGGGUGCGCAGGCGGUGUAUUAAGUCAGUGGUGAAAUGCUGCGGCUCAACCGUAGACUUGCCAUUGAUACUGGUACACUUGAAUGUAGUUGAGGUAGGCGGAAUGUGUAAUGUAGCGGUGAAAUGCUUAGAUAUUACACAGAACACCGAUUGCGAAGGCAGCUUACUAAACUAUGAUUGACGCUGAGGCACGAAAGCGUGGGGAGCGAACAGGAUUAGAUACCCUGGUAGUCCACGCUGUAAACUAUGAUCACUGGUUGUUGGCAAUAUACCGUCAGCGACUGAGCGAAAGCAUUAAGUGAUCCACCUGGGGAGUACGUCGGCAACGAUGAAACUCAAAGGAAUUGACGGGGGCCCGCACAAGCGGAGGAACAUGUGGUUUAAUUCGAUGAUACGCGAGGAACCUUACCUGGGCUUAAAUGUAGAGUGCAUAGAGUGGAAACAUUCUUUUCCUUCGGGACUCUUUACAAGGUGCUGCAUGGUUGUCGUCAGCUCGUGCCGUGAGGUGUCGGGUUAAGUCCCAUAACGAGCGCAACCCUUGUCGUUAGUUGCUAGCAGGUCAAGCUGAGGACUCUAACGAGACUGCCGGUGUAAACCGAGAGGAAGGUGGGGAUGACGUCAAAUCAGCACGGCCCUUAUGUCCAGGGCUGCACACGUGUUACAAUGGCCAGUACAAGGAGCAGCCACCUGGCAACAGGGCGCUAAUCUCAAAAGCUGGUCACAGUUCGGAUCGGAGUCUGCAACUCGACUUCGUGAAGGUGGAUUCGUUAGUAAUCGCGCAUCAGCCACGGCGCGGUGAUACGUUCCCGGGCAUUGUACACACCGCCCGUCAAGCCAUGGAAGCUGGGGGUACACUGAAGUCCGUAACC